CCUACGGGAGGCAGCAGUGAGGAAUAUUGGUCAAUGGGCGAGAGCCUGAACCAGCCAAGUCGCGUGAGGGAAGACGGUCCUAUGGAUUGUAAACCUCUUUUGCCGGGGAGCAAAACGCGGUACGCGUACCGCAUCGAGAGUACCCGGAGAAAAAGCAUCGGCUAACUCCGUGCCAGCAGCCGCGGUAAUACGGAGGAUGCGAGCGUUAUCCGGAUUUAUUGGGUUUAAAGGGUGCGCAGGCGGCGAGUUAAGUCAGCGGUAAAAUUUCGGGGCUCAACCCCGACAAGCCGUUGAAACUGGCGUGCUAGAGUGGGCGAGAAGUAUGCGGAAUGCGUGGUGUAGCGGUGAAAUGCAUAGAUAUCACGCAGAACUCCGAUUGCGAAGGCAGCAUACCGGCGCCCAACUGACGCUCAGGCACGAAAGCGUGGGUAUCGAACAGGAUUAGAUACCCGAGUAGUC
rnacentral:rRNA from 1 species